AUUCAAUAGGUAUUCCUCAAUACCCCUAAAAUCCAACUUUGGUCUCACUUUACUUUAUGAAACUCAAUUAUAGUUUAACUUUGCCCCAUCAAAUUCAAAAUGACUAUUUAUCAUAAAAAGCUAAAAUUUAAUACUCAAUUUCAUAAAUCAAAUUUUUAUAAAUAAUUUCUAAUUUAGCCAAAUCUACACUCGAAAAGACUCAAAUACCCAGUAAAAAAAAUAUAAACCUUAAAGUUUAAACCCUCUUAGACAACAGUAUGAAAUUGUGGUGAUUCAUUCACCAACAACAAAGUAUGCAACUUUUGCAAGCUGAUGAAUGGAUCUGGAUUCAUUGGGUAAAAAUUGUUACCGAUGUGUAUGAGCCUAUUAAUUCUGAUCAUAAUUGUUUUUUAUCCUAGCAAAGAAAUAAAGCUCCCUUUGAUCCAAUACCCACCCAUACCGCAUUCAGAGCAACUGAAUUCUAUGGCCUAUCCCCGGAAAAAUUGUCGGCAACUGGAUUCCAAGAAUUUGAUUCGGCUUUGGUGGGAAAGAAAAUUACGAAAACCUGCAUCAAUAAUAACUCAUAUAGCAAGGUUGGAAUUACAACCCAUGAAAGAGGCAGGGUUACUAUUGUUAGUAUUUUAGAUAUUUCCAUGCUGUGUGUGUGUGUGUUUUUUUUUUUUUUAAUUUUUUUGUGGACAAAAGAUAUUUCCAUGGUGUUGAAACUUACUUUUCAGUAAUCAAGUCAGUUUUUUACGGUGACAACCAAAUAGUAUGGGAACUUCAAGGAUUUUUGGUGUAGUGUAGUUUGGUUUUAAUUUUUUGGGCAUUUAAGCCUAUUCAAGUACAUUUUUUGUUAUAAUUGAUAGUUUUUUUUUUUUUUUUUUUUUUUUUUUUUUUUUUUUUUUUUUUAUAAAAACUCACAUUUUUGAAAUCGAAGUGUAAAUUUUGGCAAGAUAUGAUAAAUUUUCACUCAAAAUGUCUCUCUUAACCCCUAAAUGCCAACUUUGUGUCUCACUUUACCCCAUUUCAUUAAUUUUGCUAAUUUUGCUAAACCAUCUAAUGUUUCAAAGUGAGACCCAUUAAUUUGAUGGAGUCCUGCUCUCCUAAGGUCCUCAUUUUGAGGAGGAUGUGUGAGGUCUGUUGAUGCACAAAACUAGAGGGGUCUUGGAACAACGUAAAUCCGACCGUGAAUCUGCAAGAAAGUAAAUAACACAAGAUGUAUCGUGGUUCACCCCAAUGUUUGGGCUACGUCCACACUAAUUAUUGUAUUUCUGUGUGAGGAUGAGAGCGAUGAGAGGGAGAGAGAGCUUCCUUAUGUGAUGAUGAGCUUUUCUGAAUAUGAGAGGGGAUGUGAGGCUCUCUUCCAUUGUGAGGGUGAGGAGUCCCCUUUAUAGAAUAAGGGCUCCUCACUUAUUACAUAUUUGCCCCUUCCUUUAUUACAUAAUUACAUUUGAGUCCCUCGAGUAUUUAUACGAGAUCUAAAUACGGAGGCCCUAAGUAUGGUACAAACAGUAGUCCCCCAAGUUUUCAGUCAAGAGAGUCUUUUGGCUGGAGACUUGAAAUUCAGUCCAUGUGUAGGCCGAAGUAACUAGAUGUCGUCUAGAAUUGAUAUUCGAUAUGAGGCAGUGCUCAAUGUGAAAUGAUGCUCAACUAGAAGUAGCACAUGUUGCGAGGUUGCUCGGCUUGUGGCUUAUGUUGCCUUGGUUGGCUCGGCUUGUGGCGUUGAAGGUGAGGGGGUCCAUUUUAUAGAAUAAGGGAUUGCUCCUCAAUACAUAAGUGAUGGGCUAAGAGUUGAUGCUCGCAGCGAGGCGGUUGCUCAGUAGGCGGCGAUGCUCUCUAAUGAUGGUGAGGGAGUCCCUUUUAUAGAGUAAGGGCUCGCUCAUCAAUAUAUAAGUGAGGGGUUAGGAGUGAUGCUCGCGGUGAGCCGGUUGCUCAUCUGGCGGCGAUGCUCUCUAAUGAAGGUGAGAGAGUCCCUUUUAUAAAAUAAGGACUCGCUCCUCAGUACAUGAAUAAUAGGUCCUCUCUAAUGAAAGUGAGGGAGUCCCUUUUAUAGAAUAAGGGCUCGCUCCUCAGUACAUAGAUAAUGGGCUAAGUCCCCCAAGUAUUUUUCAUGAGGCCCAGUUGAGGCCCAAUAUAUGGUACAUAAUGUAGUCCCCCAAGACUUCGGUCAAUAGAGUGUGUUAGCUGGAGACUUCAAAUUGAAUCCAUGUAUGGGUCGAAGUGGUGGUUGUUCGAAGAUGGUAUUUGUAUACCUUGCACUGAAGCUUUGUAGGUGAAGCUUUGCAAGUGAAGCUUUGUAGGUGAAGUUUUGUAAAUGAAGCUUUUGAAGUUGGAGCUCUGUAGAUGAAGCUUUUGAAGCUAGAGCUCUGUAAAUGAAGCUUUUGAAGCUAGAGAUUUGUAAAUGAAGCUUUCGAAGCUAGAGCUCUGUAAAUGAAGCUUUUGAAGCUAGAGCUUUUGUAAAUGAAGCUUUUGAAGCUAUAGCUUUUGUAAAUGAAGCUUUCGAAGCUAGAACUCUGUAAAUGAAGCUUUCCACGUGGGAUGGUUGCUAGUUUCUGUAUGUAGUAUAGCAACAUUUUUGUUGAUCUCGGUUAGACAUACUGUUUUAGUUUAAGGAAUCAAAGUUGAAUUAAUUUAAGGGGGCCCAUGAGAUUCUCCCACCAACCUUUUUUAUUCAAAGAUGGUCACAUAUUAAGAAUGAGCAAUGCUGCGAACUACUGGCUGAGUUGCUAUAAAGUUGAAUUAAUUUAGAGUAGGGCUAUUUACACAUUUAUUGUCACAUUUAUUUUCACUUUUUGCAUAUUGUUUUUCAAUUUUUUUCCGUUUGAUCAAAUGAUUAGCAGAAAAUCAAUAGACAACCAUUAACAAGGGUGUGUGGGAGGUUAAAAGGGGUGUGUAGAUUGCACCAUACUUAACUAAAUGGGAGUCAAUUUACCCUUAUGCCCAUUCUUUGCUUUAGAUUUCUCCUCCCGUUUUGCACUUCUUCUUCUUUUUUAGGAGAAUGACUUACAUGAAACGUAAUGCAUAUACUAAGAUGUUGACAAAUGUAAAGCUAAGAUGAUGACACUUGUCCUUUUGUAAUUGAAUGAGUUAGUUGUGAUUGUAGUUAGUUAGAGGGAGAUUGUUAGAAGGCAAUAUAAACAAUGUUGUUGUAAGAGUGAUCGCUAUAUAACCAUAGUGUAAGAGUCAUUUGCUUUGUCAAGGUGAAGAAUACAAAGCUUUACUUUCUCUUUCUAUCUCUUAAAUUUUGAAAUGAGUACUCAAAAAUGAUGGUGGGAAUCCCUAAGUAGAGACCUCCAUUAGUAGGACAUGAUUGUCUAUCUAUUAAUGGAGGAUAGUGAAUCUUAUUUACUACUUUUUCAUGACUGGGUGGCCCUUUCUUCCAUGAUGCGCCAGACUGUAGAAAUAUUAUGUCAUCUGCGAGGGAUGGUUGCUAGUUUCUGUAUGUAGCAUAGCAACAUUUUUGUUGAUCUAGGUUGGACAUACUGUUUUAGUUUAUGGAAUCAAAGUUGAAUGAAUUUAAAGGGCCCCAUGAAAUUCUCCCACCAACCUUUUUGAUUCAAAGAUGGUUACAUAUUAAGAAUGAGCAAUGCUGCCAACUACUGGCUCAGUUACUAUAAAGUUGAAAUUACUUUUAGAGUAGAGUUAUUUACACAUCUAUUUUCACCUUUUACAUAUUUUUUUUUUUUUUAGUUUUUGCCAUUUGAUUGAAUGAAUAGCAGAAAAUCAAUAGAUAACCAUUAACAAAGGUGUGUGGGAGGUAAAAAUGGGUGUGUGGAUUGCACCACACUUACUUGAAUAGGGGUCAAUUUACACUUAUGCCCGUUUUUUGCUUUAGAUUUCUCCUCCCGUUUUGCACUUCUUCUUCUCUUUCAAGAGAAUGACUUACAUGAAACAUGUUGAUGCAUAAAAUCGGUGAGGACUUUGGAAUAACGUAAAGCGUCAAGUUUGUGACCUUCUCUCGAUUACUCCGGUCACUAGUGAGGAUAAGUAUGUAAAGAGAUAGAGAUACAGAUAAGGAAGCAAACGCAAGAUGUACGUGGUUCACCCAGAUUGGUUACGUCCAUGGAGUAGAGGAGUUCUCAUUAAUAGUGAAGGGUUAACACAAAUACAUUGGUUCAAGCUCCUCAUAAUGACAUUAGGGAUCCAUUGUAGGAGAAUGAUCUCCUUUUAUAGAAGAAGAGAGUCUCUAGCUUUAUUCUGACGUUGACACAUGUUACACUGUGAUUGGCCUCUAAUGUUGACAUAUGUCGCGUUGUGAUUGGCCUCCUGGUUGAAGGGAAACUCUUGUGGGCCCUUGACAGUAUAACGUUGACUGGUGCUUGGUAGUUUCAGGAUUGGUCAAGUAUGGUACAAACAAAACGUAAUGGAUAUACUAAGAUGUUGACAAUUGUAAAGCGAAGAUGAUGACACUUGUCAAUGUGUAAUUGAUUGAGUUAGUUGUCAUUGUAAUUAGUUAGAGGAAGAUUGUUAGAGGGCAAUAUAAACAUUGUUGUUGUAAGAAUGGCUGUUAUAUAACCAUAGUGUAAGAGUCAUUUGGUUUUUCAAUGUGAAGAAUACAAAGCUUUACUUUCUCUCUCUAUCUCUUAAAUAUUUAAAUGAGUACUCAAAAAUGGUGUUGGGAAUCCCUAAAUAGAGACUUCCAUUAGCAUGACAUGAUUGUCUAUCUAUUAAUGGAGGAUAGUGAAUCUUAUUUACUACUUUUUCAUGACUGGGUGGCCCUUUCUUCCAUGAUGCGCCAGAUUGUAGAAAUAUUAUGUCAUCUGCGAGGGAUGGUUGCUAGUUUCUGUAUGUACCAUAGCAACAUUUUUGUUAAUCUAGGUUGGACAUACUGUUUUAGUUUAUGGAAUCAAAGUUGAAUGAAUUUAAAGGGCUCCAUGAAAUUCUCCCACCAACCUUUUUUAUUCAAAGAUGGUCACACUAUUAAGAAUGAGCAAUGUUGCCAACUACUAGCUCAGUUGUUAUAGAGUUUGAAUUAAUUUAGAGUAAAGCUAGUUACACAUCUAUUUUCACAUUUUACAUAUAUUUUUUUUAGUUUUUUGCCGUUUGAUCGAAUGAAUAAUAGAAAAUCAAUAGACAACCAUUAACAAGCGUGUGUGGGAUGUUAAAAAUGGUGUGUGGAUUGCACCAUCCUUAAUUGAAUGGGGGUCAAUUUACUCUUGGGCCCGUUCUUUGCUUUAGAUUUCUCCUCCCAUUUUGCACUUCUUCUUCUUUUUAGGAGAAUGACUUACAUGAAAAGUAAUGGAUAUACUAAGAUGUUGACAAAUUUAAAGCUAAGAUGAUGACACUUGUCAAUGUGUAAUUGAUUGGGUUAGUUGUGAUUGUAAUUAGUUAGAGGGAGAUUGUUAGAGGGCAAUACAGACAUUGUUGUUGUAAGAAUAGUUGCUAUAUAACCAUAGUGUAAGAGUCAUUUCGUUUUUCAAUGUUAAGAAUACAAAGCUUUACUUUCUCUCUCUAUCUCUUAAAUUUUUAAAUGAGUACUCAAAAAUGGUGGUCGGAGUCCCUAAAUAGCUACUUCUAUUAGCAAGACACGAUUGUCAAUCUAUUAAUGGAGGAUAGUAAAUCUUAUUUACUACUUUUUCAUGAAUGGGUGGCCCUUUUUUCCAUGAUGUGCAAGACUGUAGAAAUAUUAUGUCAUCCGCGUGGGAUGGUUGCUAGUUUCUGUAUGUAGCAUACCAAUAUUUUUGUUGAUCUAGGUUGGACAUACUGUUUUAGUUUAAGGAAUCAAAGUUGAAUUAAUUUAAGGGGGCCCAUGAGAUUCUCCCACCAACCUUUUUGAUUCAAAGAUGGUCACAUUAUUAAGAAUGAGCAAUCCUGCCAACUACUAGCUCAGUUGCUAUAAAGUUGUAUUAAUUUAGAGUAGCGUUAUUUACACGUCUAUUUUCAGCUUUUAAAUAUUUUUUUUUUCUUCAGUUUUUUGCCGUUUGAUUGAAUGAAUAGCAGAAAAUCAAUAGACAACCAUUAACAAGGGUGUGUGGGAGGUAAAAAAGGGUGUGUAGAUUGUGCCACCCUUAAUUGAAUGGGAGUCAAUUUACCCUUAUGCCCGUUCUUUGCUUUAGAUUUCUCCUCCCAUUUUGCAGUUGUUCUUCUUUCUUAGGAGAAUGACUUACAUAAAACGUAAUGGAUAUACUAAGAUGUUGACAAAUGUAAAGCUAAGAUGAUGACACUUAUCAAUGUGUAAUUGAUUGAGUUAGCUGUCAUUGUAGUUAGUUAGAGGAAGAUUAUUAGAGGGCAAUAUAGACAUUGUUGUUGUGAGAAUGGUUGCUAUAUAACCAUAGUGUAAGAGUCAUUUCGUUUUUCGAUGUGAAGAAUACAAAGCUUUACUUUCUCUCUCUAUCUCUUAAAUUUUUAAAUGAGUACUUAAAAAUUGUGCUGGAAGUCCCUAAGUAGAGACUUCCAUUAGCAGGACAGGAUUGUCUAUUUAUUAAUGGAGGAUAGUGAAUCUUAUUUACUACUUUUUCAUGACUGGGUGUCCCUUUUUUCCAUGAUAGGCCAGACUGUAGAAAUAUUAUGCCAUCCGUGUGGGAUGGUUGCUAGUUUCUGUAUGUAGCAUAGCAACAUUUUUGUUGAUCUUAUGUUGGACAUACUGUUUUAGUUUAAGGAAUGAAAGUUGAAUUAAUUUAAGGGGGCCAUGAGAUUCUCCCACCAACCUUUUUGAUUCAAAGAUGGUCACACUGUUAAGAAUGAGCAAUGUUGCGAACUACUAACUCAAUUGCUAUAAAGUUGAAUUAAUUUAUAGUAGCGCUAUUUACACAUCUAUUUUCACCUUUUACAUAUUUGUUUUCUUCAGUUUUUUUCCGUUUGAUCGAAUAAAUAGCCAAAAAUCAAUAGACAACCAUUAACAAGGGUGUGUGGGAGGUAACAAAGAGUGUGUGGAUUGCACCACUCUGAGUUGAGUGGGAGUCAAUUUUAUGCCCGUUCUUUGCUUUAGAUUUCUCCUCCCGUUUUGCACUUCUUUUUCUUUUUUAGGAGAAUGACUUACAUGAAACGUAAUGGAUAUACUACGAUGUUGAGAAAUGUAAAGAUAAGAUGAUGACACUUAUCAAUGUGUAAUUGAUUGAGUUAGUAGUCAUUGUAGUUAGUUAGAGGAAGAUUGUUAGAGGGCAAUAUAGACAUUGUUGUUGUAAGAAUGGUUGCUAUAUAACCAUAGUGUAAGAGUCAUUUCGUUUUUCAAUGUGUAGAAGAAUACAAAGUUUUACUUUCUCUAUCUUUUAAAUUUUUAAAUGAGUACUUAAAAAUGGUGGUGGGAGUCCCUAAGUAGAGACCUCCAUUAGCAGGACAGGAUUGUCUAUCUAUUAAUGGAGGGUAGUGAAUCUUAUUUACUACUUUUUCAUGAUUGGGUGGCCUUUUUUUCCAUGAUGGGCCAAACUGUAGAAAUAUUAUGUCAUUCGCAUGGGAUGGUUGCUAGUUUCUGUAUGUAGGAUAGCAACAUUUUUGUUGAUCUAGGUUGGACAUACUAUUUUAGUUUAAGGAAUCAAAGUUGAAUUAAUUUAAGGGGGCCAUGAGAUUCUCCCACCAACCUUUUUUAUUCAAAGAUGGUCACACUGUUAAGAAUGAGCAAUGUUGCCAACUACUAGCUCAGUUGCUAUAAAGUUGAAUUAAUUUAUAGUAGCGCUAUUUACACAUCUAUUUUCACCUUUUACAUAUAUUUUUUCUUCAGUUUUUUUCCGUUUGAUCGAAUGAAUAGCCAAAAAUCAAUAGACAACCUUUAACAAGGGUGUGUGGGAGGUAAAAAAUAGUGUGUGGAUUGCACCACUCUUAGUUGAAUGGGAGUCAAUUUUAUGCCCGUUCUUUGCUUUAGAUUUCUCCUCCUGUUUUGCACUUCUUUUUCUUUUUUAGGAGAAUGACUUACAUGAAACGUAAUGGAUGUACUAAGAUGUUGAAAAAUGUAAAGCUAAGAUGAUGACACUUAUCAAUGUGUAAUUGAUUGAGUUAGUUGUCAUUGUAGUUAGUUAGAGGAAGAUUGUUAUAGGGCAAUAUAGACAUUGUUGUUGUAAGAAUGGUUGCUAUAUAACCAUAGUGUAAGAGUCAUUUCGUUUUUCAAUGUGAAGAAGAAUACAAAGCUUUACUUUCUCUCUCUAUCUCUUAAAUUUUUAAAUGGGUACUUAAAAAUGGUGCUAGGAGUCCCUAAGUAGAGACUUCCAUUAGCAGGACAGGAUUGUCUAUCUAUUAAUGGAGGAUAGUAUAUUAAGAUUUAGAUUGGGCUGCGGAUAUAAACACAAGAAGAUCAAUAAAUGGCUAUGUAGUCUUCUUAGGUUCCAAUCCAAUUUCCUGGCAAUCAAAGAAGCAAUCCACUGUUUCCAGAAACUUAACAGAAGCAGAAUACAAGGCUCUUACACAUUGUGCUGCAGAUGUGUAUUAGAUAAGGUCAUUACUCAAAGACAUUCAUGAAACUACAUUAGAACCUCCAUGUCUACAUUGUGAUAACCAUUCUGCAUUAGCAUUGACUUCAAAUCCUGUUUUCCAUUCUCGGAUAAAGCAUAUCGACACCGAUUAUCAUUUUGUUCAAGAAAAGGUUCAAAAGGGUGACUUGAAAGUCCAAUACAUUCCAACUGAAGACCAAGUGGCAGAUGUCAUUACUAAAGGACUACAUAGUCCAAUCUUUAUUCGACCGUGUCACAAACUUAGUCUAGGAGCUCCUAGCUAAGUUUAAGGGGGGGGGGGGGAGUAAUGGAUAUACUAAGAUGUUGACAAUUGUAAAGCUAAGAUGAUGACACUUGCCAAUGUGCAAUUGAUUGAGUUAGUUGUGAUUGCAGUUAGUUAGAGGGAGUUUGUCAGAGGGCAAUAUAGACAUUGUUGUUGUAAGAAUGGUUGCUAUAUAACCAUAGCGUAAGAGUCAUUUAGUUUUUCAAUGUGAAGAAUACAAAGCUUUACUUUCUCCCUCUAUCUCUCAAAUCUUUCUCUUCCCGCUCAUUGUUUUCUUACCAGUUUCAUAGCCUAGCCUAGACAGUUUUACUGCAUUGUUUGAAAACUGACUCAUGAUCACGUGAUGUCCAUUGUCUAACAAUGUAUUGUCAUGUGUAAUUUUUUUUUUUUUUCACAUGACAAUGUAUGGUCGGAACGUCAUAUGACGGUGAACCUGUUCUCUGUAAAUAACUCACCUUUUGUGGGUUCAUAGUUGAGAAAUAUAGAGCAACUAAAGGGAAACAAUACUCCUAGUCCUGGAUGUGAAGAAUGGUGAAAGAAAAAGGUUUUUUCUUUUUUAUUGAUUGGAACCUAUAUGAAGGGCUAAUAUAUUAUGACAACAAAGCCAAUCUAAAAAACAAGGUUUUCUGGUCUAAAGAAAAUGUUGGAACCUAGUAAAAUUGGACCAAAUUCAACGAAAAGAUUAAUUUCUUUUUGUUAAUUUUUUUUGGUUAAACGUUCUUGAUUUUUUAAUAUCUCAAACAUUUUUUGUUUGUCUUGAAUUUUAAGAUGUGAAUUUAUUUUCUUUAAUGUGUUGUGGUUUUUUUUAGAAAGCAUUAGACUACAUUUUAGUUUUCCAAAACAAAUAUUUUUUCAAAUAAAUUCAAGUUCUCAUUGAACAAACUAGAAUUGAAUUUUACGGCUUAAUUUUCAUUGUAUUGCAAAGAAGACAAUAUAUACAAGAUACAAUCCUUAUUCUAUAAGGAAACAAUAAAGGACACACAACUAUCCUUCCUAAUAAAGAAUUUUAAUAUUUACAAUAUAUUUACAUACCCUUUUUAAUACCACUCACGUUAACAACUAGGAGCAUCGAUUUUAUUGCUUGACUAAUCUAAGAAUAUUGGCCGCCUUGUUUGUUUAAUGUGUUUUGGAAAAAUAAGAUGAAAUUUACUAGAGUAAGAAGAAGAAAAAUAAGAAACGUGGAAGUGGAGGAGAAAGAGAAAGCAAAUAAGGGCACAAGAGUAACUUGGCUUUAGCAAGUGUCCUAGCAAUAAACUUAGAAGUGGUUGUUUUUUUUUAAGAGAACUUAGAAGUGGUUGUAUGCUCUUAAGAGACACAAUAUAUGCUACAUGUGUGAUUUUAAUGCUACAUAACACUUAGUGCUAGACUAUGAAUGUUUUAGCCUUUAAAUUUGAUUUUCAUAAUUAAAAAAAACAAAAAAAAUAAAAAUAAAAAUAAAACCCAAGAGGGAUACAAUUGACAACAUAAAGAGACACAUUAAGCUACACUCAUAAGGAGGCAUGCAUGCCUUCUGGUAUGGAGAGAGAUGUUAUCAGGCCAAUAGAGAGAUUUUGUGAUAGUAUGAAAGAGACAAAAUAGCAAAGUUGUAAAUAAGAAAAUAAAAAAGGGUUAACAUGCAUGUAAAAGUUGUACGGGCAUGCUUUCAUAACUCUAUAAAUGAAGCCCUCCCCUUCACUCAUCUCUCACAUAGAUACCUCCUAACUCUCAAGGAUACAAUUUUUGGAGCUGAGGUUUUAAUUAAGAUUUUUCUCUAUCUUGUCUCAUUUCUCUUCAAUCUUCUCUUGGUAUCUGCAAUCUACUAAUUACGGUAUAUUUCUCUCUUCCCUCAUUUCUAUUCAAUCUUAUAGAGCUAUUUGAUUGUUUGAUAAAGUCUUUGUUUUAAUGUUAAUUAAGGAAGUAAAGAGGAACAAAACAUUUUAAGUUUUCUCACCAACCAAUUGCAAAUCUACUGUCUGCGUAAUUGGAUGGGGGGCACCUUUUUGGGUCUAUGUUUCUGUGACUUUUGAAUGGGGGACAUAUAGGCCAAUAAAAUUCAUAUAUGAUAAUACUCGUUGGGAUUGUUUGCAAAUUUUUGAUCUAAUAGAUCUUCUUUUUUUUUGCUUGUUUUCAUCAAUAAACAGAUGGGAGAUUAAGAGUAUUUGCUGAUUAAUUGAGAAAUGUUCAUGUUAAAUUCUUGACAUAAGCAUAUUAAGAUUGGAACUAAUAAUAAGCAUGUUAAAUCCAGUUCAGUUGGAGUGUGUGUGUGCGUGUGUGUGUGUGUGUGUUUUAUCUUUUCUUUUCUUUAUUAACAUGAAACUAAUCUUUGAAUUUACUGUAUAUUAAUACAGGUAUUAUAAUGAAUCCGAAGGUCUUCUUUCAGAUUCGACUUCAAACUGGAAAGACGGGAAAAAUAGUAAUGGAGCUCUACAAGGACAAAGCUCCAUCAGAUUUCGUUGAGAACUUCCGUGCUCUUUGCACAGGAGAGCACGGGAAGGGAGCAUUUGGUAAGCCCUUACACUACAAGGGCUCCAGAUUUCACAACGUGAUUAAGGGCCUCCACUACAACAAGAAGAUGAUAAUCCAUAAACAACAAGACCCGGCUUACAUUUUGAAAUGAGGUCGGACCUGAAGCAGUAUAUGGAAUGUCCCCAAAACACCACCUUUCUACCCCACCGUCAAGGGUGUUUGUCCAUGGCUAAUUGUGGAACAAAUAGGUAUCGCUCCCAAUUCUUCGUCACCUUUAAAGACUUCCCUAUGUAUGACAAGUAUUUUGUAGUCAUAGGGAGUGUUAUUUGAAGACAAAGAGGGAAUUUUGGACUCCAUUAGCUAGUGUGGCUCACUAGAAGGAGAACUUGACCAAGAAAAUUGUAAUUGAGGACUGUGGGGAGGUGGAGCAAGGUGGCAGACUGGCAGUGGAGAAGCUUCCACCUCUGCAUCUUAAGAAAUUUUUUUGUGCUUUUUCUUUCUUCUUUUUUUAAUUAAUCUUGACUGUAUUUCUUGUGUCUUCUUAUUAUAUUAGAAAAUGUGUUAUUUGAAUAAGCAAGACUAAUUAAGCUGUUUUCUCUUUGAAGCCAACUGGUAGUAUUUGGGAAUGGAUGGAUCGAGGCAUUGACAAAUCUUUAAUUGUUACCCAUUUUAAAGCCCACCUCAGUUUAUUCAACCAAAAAAAAAAAUAUUUAAUUCAAACUAAUUAAAUAUAAUGAAACCCGCAAAACAACAAUGGCAGAAAUUAAAUCGAGAACUAAAACUACAAAUCCAAAUAACCCUAAUAUCAUAGCAACUAAAUAUUUACCGUUAGAAACGCAGAACCCUAAUUUGAGCUCACGAGGCUUUACCAAAAAAAUAUUUAGACCAAAAUAGCCCUGAAACCGAAUUGAAAUUUCGGAAUCCUCAGAACUUCGGAAUUGGCCCUUCAAGCUUAAAUUGUUGGGCUUCUUUAAUUUAUUUGGAUUUUGGACUGAACAUAAAUUUUUUUUCUUGCAACAAGUGUAACAAAUUCAUACAAAAAGUCAUAAAUUCAUACCAACUGCUAAUUCCAACUCAUACAAAUUCAUAAUUUCAUACCAAAUCCAAUUUACACGAAGCCAAAUUCUCUAGUCUAUCAAACUACUUAAAUUAAAAGUGCAUACAACCAAAAUGAAAUAAGUUGCAAACCCAAAAGCAAAAAGUUAAAUUACAAAUCAAAUUUCCAAAUGAAAUUAAGCAAACCAAAAGCAAAACGUUAAGUUUAAGUUCAUCAUGUUUGGCCCCUUCCACGCGUUGAUGGUUGACCCCUCACUCUUUCUUGUAGUUGCUCUUGAAAGGGGUGCUUGCAAAGGUAUUGAUUGGCAUUGUUGAACUUGAGGUGGUGGAGGAGGAGGUGGCAUUUCAUCUCUUUGAGUUGGAUUCUCCUCACCUCUCAAAUUAGGCACCUCUUAAAAUUAUUAUGGCUAGCCAAUUGUGAGGUUUAUCGUUUAACCAAAUACUUCGAGUUAUUAAUUACCUUUCAGGCACAACUAAGAAAAACCACCUAACUGAUGCUCACCGAACACAAAUAAAGGGUCCAAAUAUCCUAUUGCCAAUUAUGUGUCAUCACAUAAAUUAUCGAAACCUGGCAAAGCUUUUGUACAACAAAUAUUCACUGGUAGUACUCUUAGUUCCUUGAAAGAAGCAUUAUCCGAUGCUCGAUGGACCAAGGCAAUGGAAGAAGAAAUGGAUGCACUUCAAAAGAACCAAAUGUGGACUUUGGUUCCGUUGCCGCAAGGAAAAAAGAGAGUUGGGUGUAGGUGGGUAUACACAGUCAAGUACAAAGUUGAUGUGUCUAUUGAGAGGUACAAGCCACAAUUGGUGGCCAAGUACACAGACAUAUGGUUUUCACAAUACAGAAACAUUUUGUCAUGCCGCGGAUACGGAGUCGGCAGAAAAACUCGAACCCGAAUCUGUAAUCCAAGCUUAAAAAAAAUAAAUAAAUAAAGAAACUGAAUUAACGGGGUGAAAAAUAAAAUUCCUCUUAUAAAAAGAACUCAAGAAUUCUUUGCACGGCAAAAAUAAAUAAAUGAACAAACUCUCUAUCCUCACAUCUAAUUCAUUCUCAUUCCGCCUAUCCUUUCAAUUGUAGGGUGAGCUUUAACAGCUCAGUAGAGACAUAACCUUAUUAGAUUGAUAAUAUUAAAUUAAGUGUCAUGAAUCAUGUAAUCAAGUGAUGAAAUCAUUAUCAAUAACAGUGCAUGAGCGCAAUAGAGAGAUCAUAAUCAAUAAGAAAUUUUUAUAUUCUUUGAACCAAAAGCUGAAAUAGUAUUGCUCAAUACCAAUUUAAUCGAAUUGGACUUGUGAAAGGACAUAUUUUAUAAAGGGUGCUAAAUACAGAACAGCUAAGCCCUAAUAUCAGAACAGAAUUCAAUAUACAUCUAACACUAAGCCUACAUCCUCCAUCCUCAACAGAUCAAAGGAAAUAGAAAGUGACGAUCACCUUACCUCACUUGUUCCUCUAAACUGCAGAAGCUUAGCCCACUGAAAAUCGCCUCCACCAAACGAACCCGACGACCCGCAAUCCCACCCAACCCUCCUCCCCGAUCCCUUCACCCACUGGUGCGCCAACCAAACCUGCAAACCUUUCACCGCUGAUCCUCUCGAUCCCCGGAGCUCCUCCGAUUGCGAUUGGUUCUCCGAUGCCACCUUCGAUUCGGACCAUGACGUCAGCUGCUUCGUCACCAAUCUAUUCGAUCGCCGCAGCUCCGAGCAGCAGCCCAAGACCGAGAGGGAGGGUUUUGGAUAUGGAAGCUUGAGUUGGGGUGGUGGUGGAAGGAAAGCAGAGUGCUUCGAAUUCAGCUCAGGGAGGCGUGGCGGUAUCGCCUGGCAUCAUGUUGGCCGGGCAAGGGCUCAGCACAUUCUGAGCCAGCCUAGAGACCAGCUUGGGCUAGGUGCCAGCCUAUCUGCUCGGCUGGAGUGGAUUAGCUGAGUGCCGGGCCAAUAAUAUGGCUAGGUGCCGGCAUAAAGGUUCCCGGUGGAACUGCUCUAAACUGCAGGAGCUUAGCCCACUAAAAAUCGCCUCCUUGUUGGAUAGACGAUGCCAUAUCCAUACAACAUCAUCAACUCUUUUUUCCUGGUUCUCUACUCUCACUUUCAUUGUCUCUCAGUUUCGUCGGUUUUACAGAAGAUUGUUCCCUCCUCCUAUAUAUAUGUUCAUUUGUUUCCAACAUAUUUCCAUCUUUGAGGACAUCCAGUUAAUCCUUCAUAUCUCAUCUCUGUAAAUGAAAUAUCAUUUUGCUUUCAGAGAUGUCCUCAACCAUAUCAUCUUUGGGUUUUGUUCCCGCAUCAUCACAACCCUAUAAAUCUCUCGCUUCUCGAUUGUAUAAGAAAGGCGGUUCAAUUUCUUUUUGCUUCGGCAAAGGUGCCUCAGCAUGAACCUGUAAGUAGGUUCUCGAAGGUAUAACGUUGACGGUAUUUAAUAGUUUUGGAAUUGGUCAAGUAUGGUACUCCUUAAGUUCCCGACUAAAGAAAGUUUCACGGUUGAGGACUUGACAAAUCCAAGUUACUGAGUAAUCAUAAAACUUCUAAGUAUUAAGGACUAGUAGCAUGUAGUAGCAUAUAGUAGAAGUCAUCCAAAUCUCCAAGGAAGAAGAGUUGCCAAAGAAAGUAUCUUGCUAGUAGCCAAAUUGUCAAAAUAAUAAAGCUCACCCUUUUCUUUUCCGAAUGACAGCUCAAAAUUCAUUUCUCAUAUAUAUAUGUGUGUGUAUAUAUAUAUAUAUAUAUAUAUAUGUUUUUUAAUGAAGGUUUUUAGGCCCAAAGAGGAGGCCCGCGCCCAUUUACUUUGUUGGCAGCCUUUUUCUCUUUUGUAUUAGGGGUUUUUGGGUGACCCUACCCAGCUCCCUCUUUUGUUUUUCGUUUCUUUUUCUUUUCCCGGCACAGCCUCCUUCCUUCCUAGCCUGAGUAACCCAGUCUCUCCAUCCUUCCCCAUCCUCUUCGUUUUACUAAUUUUUUGUUUUGCAGUUACCCAUUUCCUUCAACACCGAAAUUCUUGCUCAUUUUCUUAACUCCAGGCCUUCCCCAUCUGACUGUGGCCAAGAUGCUCAAGUGAAAUAGUAUCUCGUCUGAUUCAGCCGCUGUUGUCAGGGUCGCGGCGGGAGAGAUUGAGGAGCGGAGACAGAGGCGAGUACGGCGCUGGAGGGGCAGGUCCCAGGGGUGAUAUUUGUUGCUAAAAAUGGGUUUGGGUUCAUGCUCGGGCUGCUAGGUUUUGACAGGAGUGUCGGAGGUUAGAACUCCUUAAUCACGUCUCUUCCACACAGGCAUUCGCCGCUUCGAGACUGAAAGGGUUUGGUUGUUCCACUUGGGUCCUCACAAAAAUCCGAGUCUUGAACUUGGUUGCUUUUAAUUUCACUCCAAGAUAUACAUUUUAGGAUCUUGGAGGAAGAGGGGUCAUUAGGGUUUUGAUUUGAGUUUUGAGGCCUCGAAGAAUUUCUUUGUGAUUUCUGCCGUGAGUAUGAGUUGCAGAGGUUGAGGGAAGAUCUGUGAGUUGUUGAAUUUCUUUUGGCAGGGGAUUCUAGGGAAAGUAUUUGAUUUUAUUUCGGUAAUGAUUAAUAAAGUUUGUGAAUAGUGUUCAACGGUCAAUGAUCCUGAUGAAAUUUAGUUUUCUUCUCAUAAUGCUUUCACUAGAUCGCUUUGGCAAGUAACUUUUUUCAGACUUUAAUUAUCAUUCACCAUGUAGACUUAAUUUUUUUUUAAUGUUUUCUAUAGGAAAGUUUCCGAAAAUUUGGCGUGAAAGAUACCACUGUGGUAAGUGAUUUCAUUCUUUUGUUUUGUUUAUUUGAGCAUAAGCUUCUAUAUGUAGGGACGUUCAAGAUCAGUGAAUAUCAACCUUGUUUAAUAGAAUAAUGCUUUGUAAAUGUGAAUAUUUUUGCAGCUGGUGUUCUUUUUCUAUAAAAUGGGAAAUUUGUGACUAAGGUUAUUGGACUUGAUGUGGAAGAGAGAUUUAAAAAACUCUAUAUGUAAUUAUUUCAUAUGCUACUUUACUUUCAUGCUUCUAGGUAUGUGUGUAUACGGUAGUGAUGCGUGUUGUGGAUUUUAUGAUCAAAGUUCUCUUCAUAUGUGAAUUGAUUGUGUACGUUGCAGUGUGUUGGGUGGACAGAAUGAGGAUAUUUACUAUUCUUAAGGUUCACCAGAUAAGAUGACAACAUCUCUUAUACCGAUAUUCCAUCGAUGCAUUACUGAGAAGAAGAAACAUUCAAGUAAUGUUUCUAACCUUUUGUUUCACACAUCGGAAUAUAACCAACUUCGAUUAUUUGAGUGUGGUGUUAGUAAAUAUGUGUUGCACAUAUUCCACACAAUACAUAUUUCGGAACAUGUUCCUUUGGUUAUCACCGGUAGGGUGAGUUCCAUACUCGGUCGUUGGUUGGAAGCACAAAAGACGAGAGAUGAUUGCCUAGCACAGGUGAAAUUUAUAUUGAGGUAGGUUAAGUACAUUUCACUUAAUUCAAUGCUAUUUUUAUACGUUUACAGUUUUUUGGUAUCUUGUUUAGGCAAUUAUGUAUAUCAGGCUAGAGAGAAGCUUGUGAAAGAUGGUCAUUUUAGUUGAUACGAUUCUGAUCGCGGAUGGACAGAUUAAAUUACAUUUUCCUAUCAAAAUUCAAAGCGGGCAAAACAUGAAGUUGGAGAGUUUGGUUAAACAAGGUCUAGACCAAAUGCGUAAUGUAGUUAAUUAGAUUUUAAAUUGGAGUGUUAUUAAUAUGGGAAGUGUUGAUAUUUAUGAGCUGAAAAAUAUGUUUAUGUUUGCGCAAAAUGAUAAUAGCUAGGUGCUUUUUAAUUUGUGUUUGAUUUAUUUAUUUUAUUUGUAGUUAUAAUUUUCAUUUUGAUUGAUGACAAGUGUUUCUGUACUAUAGAUUCUUGAAAAUCACAUUGCAGGGUCAGGCGUUAAAUGAUUAAAUAGUGCGAAAUAAAAUGCGUUGUUGGGCAUGGUCAAAGUUUAAAGAUAGUGGGGUUAUGUUUGGUAUAGACAGAGAACCUACAAAAUUGGCUAGACUAGUGGCUGGUAAGAUAUACACAAAGAGGGGCAUACGUAAGAAGUAUAAUUAGAAGUAGAAUCUAAGAAGGGUGUUAGGAGAUAUAAAGUACCAGUAUUAGACUGGUUAGGUGGAUGGUUUUGACCAGUUUCGUAAGUGUGAUGUGUUAGCAUACUUGAGGUUUAACAUUAUAAUCAUAGCGCACACUACAGAUCAGGUAUUCUUAUAUGACUUCAGUGUGUGCUACGAUAAUACGGUUAAACCUCAAGUAUGCUAACACAUCACACUCACCAAACUAGUCAAAACCAUCUACCUAACCAGUCCAAUAUUGGUACUUUAUAUCUCCUAACACCCUUCUUAGAUUCUACUUCUAAUUAUACUUCUUGCGUAUGCCCCUCUUUGUGUAUAUCUUACCAACCCCUAGUCUAGCCAAUUUUGUAGGUUCUCUGUCAAUACCAAACAUAACCCCACUAUCUUUGAACUUUGACCAUGCCCAACAACGCAUUUUAUUUCGCCCUAUUGAAUCAUUUAACGUCGGACCCUGCAGUAUGAUUUUCAAGAAUCUAUAGUACAGAAAAACACUUGUCAUCAUUCAAAAUGAAAAUUAUAACUACAAAUAAAAUAAAUAGAUCAAACACAAAUUAAAAAGCACCUACCUAUUAUCAUUUUGCGCAAACAUAUUCUUCAGCUCAUAAAUAUCAACACUUCCCAUAUUAAUACCACUCCAAUUAACUACAUUUCGCAUUUGGUCUAGACCUUGUUUAACCAAACUCUCCAACCUUUUUUGCCCGCUUUGAAUUUUGAUAGGAAAAUGUAAUUGAAUCUGUCCAUCCGCGAUCAGAAUCGUAUCAACUAAAAUGACCAUCUUUCUAGCUUGAUAUACAUAAUUGCCUAAACAAGAUACCAAAAAACUGUAAACAUAUAAAAAUAGCAUUGAAUUAAGUGAAAUGUACUUAACCUACCUCAAUAUAAAUUUCACCCGUGCUAGGCAAUCAUGUCUCAUCUUUUGUGCUUCCAACCAACGAUCGAGUAUGGAACUCACCCUACCGGUGAUAAGGAACAUGUUCCGAAAUAUGUAUUGUGAAUAUGUGCAACACAUAUUUACUAACACCACACUCAAAUAAUUGAAGUUGGUUAUAUUCCGAUGUGUGAAACAAAAGGUUAGAAACAUUACUUGAAUGUUUCUUCUUCUCGGUAAUGCAUACAUGGAAUAACGGUAUAAGAGAUGUUGUCAUCUUAUCUGGUGAACCCUGAGAUUAGUAAAUAUCCUCAUUCUGUCCACACUGCAACGUACACAAUCAAUUCACAUAUGAAGAGAACUUUGAUCAUAAAAUCCACAACACGCAUCACUACCAUAUACACACAUACCUAGAAGCAUGAAAGUAAAGUAGCCUAUGAAAUAAUUACAUAUAGAGUUUUUUAAAUCUCUCUUCCACAUCAAGUUCAAUAACCUUAGUCACAAAUUUUAAGAACCCUGGCUGCAAAAAUAUUUACAAAGCAUUAUUCUAUCUAAAGAUUACAACAAGGCCGAUAUUCAUUGAUCUUGAACGUCCCUACACUACAUAUAGAAGUUUUAUGCUCAAAUAAACAAAAGAAUGAAAUCACUUACCACAGUGGUAUCUUUCACGCAAAAUUUUUGGAAACUUUCCUAUAGAGAAUAUAAAAAAAAAGUUAGGUCUACAUGGUAAAUGAUAAUUAAAAUUUGGAAAAAGUUACUUGCCAAAGCGAUAUACAACAUUUUGAUGUCGUUACGACUAUCCUGAAGCACUAUAAGAAGAAAAAUAAAUUUCAUCACUUGACCGUUGAACAUUAUUCACCAAUUUUUUUUAUCGUUGCAGAAUAGUUUCCCUAAAAUCCCCUGCCAAAAGAAAUCACAUCCAAUCAAGCUGCAAAAAGCAAGUGUACAACUGGGAAGUGCGAACUACAAAUAAAUUCAAUGCAUCCAGCCAAGCUGCAAUAAACUUUCUUUUCUUUUUUGAUUAAGUGGAGGCUCCUAAGCCCAAAAUAUUAAAAAUGCAAGCCUGACUGGGCAUUAUCAAAACAUGGAGUUCCCACAUAACACAUAAUAGAAUCAUACAAAUGAUUUUCAAAUCUUUUUUUUUAAUAAGUUACUAUUUCAAGUAAACCAGAUAUCUGAUGAUUUAGUAGCAUAUUUGAAUGACACACCUUAUCAAGUAUUGUCUCAUAUAUGGUUACAUGUGGGAACCCUCCAUCUCAACUCCGCAACGGUUGGAGCAAAGAUAUUGCCUCGGUAAGAUGAAAAAGAGUAAGUUGAGAGAAGCAGUUUAUUACAUGAUUGAUGCAUUGUAAAAAUAUCACAAAUUACAAGCGUGGAUGGGAAAGCGACUGAAAAAUAUGACUGAUGUCAAACCAUCUACUCAAACAAAGUAAAAACAAUAAAGGUUAAGAACUGAGUGAAAAUUAAAAGUUCACUCACAACAAAAGAAAAGGUAAAAUAAGACUAGCAGUAAGCAUUACCGGAAGUAAUUUUCUCUAGAAAGUCUCGUUGGUCCUUAACGCGGGCAAUGUUUGAAAAACCUGGAAGAAAAAAAAGGGCAAUGUUAAACCAGGACAAAUUUGAAGCCAUUUACCAUUUGAGCUAUUACUAAGAUGGAAGCUCCCCACGAGAAUGACAACAACACUGCCACACUUUUCAUUGACUUCAAGAUGAGUAAACUAUAGGUACAUUUCUCAAGGACUUGUUGUUGAUAUGUGCCCAUUCAAAAAUUUGACUGAAUCUAUAACAUAAAGUCUAUGUACAGCACAAAAAUGCUUAGUAAGUUUGUAAGAUACAAAUCAAAAUCGAAGGGAGGAUUAAUCACAAGAUAAGGUGCUUCAUUUCUGAGGAUAAGGUGCUUCAUUUCUGACUCCACUUUUUUUGUUCUGCCUCCUUUGACUCAUAUGAAGAGAACUUUUGAUCAUAAAAUCCACAACAUGCAUCACUACCGUAUACACACACCUAGAAGCAUGAAAGUAAAGUAGCCUAUGAAAUAAUUUCAUGUAGAGUUUUUCAAAUCUCUCUUCCACUCUUGUGGCAUCAAGUCCAAUAACCUUAGUCACAAUUUUCUCUGCGCUAUUGCAUUUUAUACAUACAUACAUACAUACAUAUAUAU
rnacentral:lncRNA from 1 species